rnacentral:rRNA from 1 species
AGAGUUUGAUUCUGGCUCAGAACGAACGCUGGCGGCGUGGAUAAGACAUGCAAGUCGAACGGGAAUUUUUUUGGUAGCAAUACUAGAAAAAUUCUAGUGGCGAACGGGUGCGUAACACGUGGGCAAUCUGCCGAGAAGUGGGGGAUAGCUCGCCGAAAGGCGAAUUAAUACCGCAUACGAUGAGGGAAGACAUCUUUCCGAAAUCAAAGCCGGGGCAACCUGGCGCUUUUUGAGGAGCCCGCGGCCUAUCAGCUUGUUGGUGAGGUAACGGCUCACCAAGGCUUUGACGGGUAGCUGGUCUGAGAGGACGACCAGUCACACUGGAACUGAGACACGGUCCAGACACCUACGGGUGGCAGCAGUCGAGAAUUUUUCUCAAUGGGCGAAAGCCUGAAGGAGCGACGCCGCGUGGGGGAUGAAUGGCUUCGGCCCGUAAACCCCUGUCAUUUGCGAACAAAUUGACUCACCUAACACGUGUGUCAUUGAUUGUAGCGGAAGAGGAAGGGACGGCUAACUCUGUGCCAGCAGCCGCGGUAAUACAGAGGUCCCAAGCGUUGUUCGGAUUCAUUGGGCGUAAAGGGUGCGUAGGUGGCGCCAUAAGUCGGGUGUGAAAUCUCGGGGCUUAACUCCGAAACUGCAUUCGAUACUGUGGUGCUUGAGGACUGGAGAGGAGACUGGAAUUCAUGGUGUAGCAGUGAAAUGCGUAGAGAUCAUGAGGAAGACCAGUGGCGAAGGCGGGUCUCUGGACAGUUCCUGACACUGAGGCACGAAGGCCAGGGGAGCAAACGGGAUUAGAUACCCCGGUAGUCCUGGCAGUAAACGGUGCACGUUUGGUGUGGGAGGAUUCGACCCCUUCUGCGCCGGAGCUAACGCGUUAAACGUGCCGCCUGGGGAGUACGGUCGCAAGAUUAAAACUCAAAGAAAUUGACGGGGGCCUGCACAAGCGGUGGAGUAUGUGGCUUAAUUCGAUGCAACGCGAAGAACCUUACCUGGCCUUGACAUGCAAGUGGUAGAAGC